GCCGGGGUUGCAGAGAGGCACUGCGCCGGCCUGGAGAGCCGGUGCCCGUCAAGGGCUCCUGGGUUCAAGUCCCAGCCCCGGCG
rnacentral:tRNA from 1 species